AUGAGAUUUUCUUAAUGGCCUUAAGCAGAGCAGCAAUUUCGGGACAUGGAUGUUCCGAAAAGUCCGCUUUGAGCCCGGAUGGCGAAUUGCGGAUGGUUGCGUCCGGUAAGAUACCCUUCCUAAGAACAUUUAGAAAAUCCAUUUUUCGAAG
rnacentral:ncRNA from 1 species